UUAAUAAUAUUUAAACGAAGAAAUAAAUUUUAAAAUAUAUUUCUAAGACCCGUGUUCAAAUUCAAUUCAAAUUCAAACGAAUAAAGAUACUUUGGAAUUUGUGGGGAUUGAUAGAAAUUAAACUGGCAAUACUAUAUCGUUGACUUGCACUGCAGAGUGCCUACCGCGAACCACAUUCGACGUGUUGCCUCCCCGUCACAUUUACGUGCGAAGUUACAAGUGCGACUGAGAGGCAACACGUCAAUGGUGGUUCGCGGUAGGCCCUCUCCUCUGUUUCGGAACGGAACAUACUGUGGUGACUGUGGUUUCGGUAUGUGACUCCUGCGUAUGCGCUCCUUGUUAUUCAUUACUUUUUAUUCAUUGUUUUGUUUUUUGUUAUUUGACUUCGGCAUUCUCUACGGACUUACGAUUGCUCCACGAUACGGAUUUGUUGACAAGGGAUAACGACAACAAGGCACACUGAACGGACAAAGAAACACAAAAAACAUGGCUCCUACCCGGCGCUGUCAAUACAUAAAUUGCCUAAAUACAAGCGGAACUCAUUCAUUAUUCCGUUUUCCAGUAAAGGAUACAAAUCGUCUACGAACAUGGAUAAACAAUUCAGGAACUGCAGUUGAAGUGACACCUGAUACAUCACCCCAAAAAUUAAAGGUUGACCCCAAGAAAUGUGUAUGGAAAACGAGCGUUGCAAGUAUUACACGAUCAAGAAGCGGGAAGCUCAUCAACUUCGUCAAAAUUUGAACAUGCAUUUGCAUGGAGGAGUGCCGUAAGAGAAAAAGAUUACUUCACGUGUAAAAUUAGCUACACAAAUAUUUUCCCAUUCAGUUGGCGCAGCGAUCAACACAGCAAUACAAACAGGAGAACUGUCAAGCCCUACUGCUGCGAACACAGCUCAGUUUAUUGUUCAGAUAAACAACUUGUUUGACGCUCUCAACAGCAAAACUAAAUUUGACAAGAAUCCAAAGAAAUGUGGAUUAACAAAAGAUAACGCUGCGAGGCAAGCAUUAGAAAAUGAUCUCAGAAUUCUACAAGACAUAAAAAAAAUUGUUGUUAAAGGAAAUCUAUAAAAGAACACUACGCCUCCUUGUUUCAUGGGCUUACAGCAAAGCAUUAAUGGCAUAAUACUAUUGUACACAGAAGAAAACACCGAAGGUGUACAGUACUUGUUAACAAACAGGUUAAAUCAAGAUGUGUUAGAAAUAUAUUUUCAACAUAUAGACUAAAGGGCGGGAACAAUAAAAAUCCAAGCGCUCGAAUGUUAAGGUCAGUCUUUCGUAGCUAUUUAACUGAAAUGCUAGUACGGCUACCGGGUCAUCAAAAUUGCGAGCAGACAGAUGUAUCAAAUUGUGACCUAUCUGACAAUAGACAGAACCUCACCAAGGAGCCGGAGCCCGAGCCUCAGUUCGGAUUCCGAGGAUACACCCGAGCCUACAGCAAGUGUUGUGCCCCGCAGCACGGCCCUACAGCAAGUGGAGAAGGCUCCGACGCCCUGCACAAUGCACAUCUCGCACAGCCGCCCGCGCCGAUAGCACAGGGACUCCGACUCUCGAACAAUGCUCUGUCACUUAUUUCGCAGGAUAUAUAGCAAACAAAUGUUUCAACAACUUUAAAUGUAACAAAUGCUUGAAGUCGAUGACUAAAAAUGUCGAUUUAAGUGAUAAAAAAACAAUUAUUUAUACUAGAGAAAACCUAUGGGCUCGCUGAAAACAACAUUAAAAUGCCCAAGUGUCAAUUUUUACCAAGUCAUUGACGUUUGUCUAACAAAUUAUGAGGACCAAUUUAAUAUUAUAAAACAUAAAUUAAAUGUAUUAAAAAACAUGACUAAUCAUUUAAUAUGUAUUUUAAAAAUAGAUCACGCUACCGCAUAUAAUAUAUACUGUACAGAGCAUUUGAAAUACAGUGUAGAAAAAUUAAUUGAAACAAAAAUCAAUUAUUACUGCAAAUCACAAAAAAGAAACAGGAUUCAAAAUCAACAAAAGCUUAGGUUGUUACAAAAUAAAUGAAAUAAGUAGUUGUCA